GCCGCUUUAGCUCAGUUGGUAGAGCAGCUGCCUUGUAAACAGCAGGUCAUCCGUUCGAUUCGGAUAAGCGGCACCA
rnacentral:tRNA from 2 species